GACGAACGCUGGCGGCGUGCUUAACACAUGCAAGUCGAACGGUGAAGCGCCUUCCUUUUUGGUUGGUGUGGUUGAGUGGCGAACGGGUGAGUAACACGUGAGUAACCUGCCCCCUUCUUCUGGAUAACCGCAUGAAAGUGUGGCUAAUACGGGAUAUUCUGGGUCUGUCGCAUGAUGGGUCUGGGAAAGAUAUUGUUUCGGUGGGGGCUGGGCUGGCGGCCUAUCAGCUUGUUGGUGGGGUGAUGGCCUACCAAGGCGGUGACGGGUAGCCGGCCUGGGAGGGUGGACGGUCAGACUGGGACUGAGACACGGCUCAGACUCCUACGGGAGGCAGCAGUGGGGAAUAUUGCACAGUGGGCGAAAGCCUGAUGCAGCGACGCCGCGUGAGGGAUGGAGGCGUUCGGGUUGUGAAGCUCUUUCGCCAGUGAAGCAGGCCUGCCUCGUUUGUGGGUGGGUUGACGGUAGCUGGAUAAGAAGCGCCGGCUAACUACGUG
rnacentral:rRNA from 1 species